AGUCGAGCGGCAGCACGGGUACUUGUACCUGGUGGCGAGCGGCGGACGGGUGAGUAAUGCCUAGGAAUCUGCCUGGUAGUGGGGGAUAACGCUCGGAAACGGACGCUAAUACCGCAUACGUCCUACGGGAGAAAGCAGGGGACCUUCGGGCCUUGCGCUAUCAGAUGAGCCUAGGUCGGAUUAGCUAGUUGGUGAGGUAAUGGCUCACCAAGGCGACGAUCCGUAACUGGUCUGAGAGGAUGAUCAGUCACACUGGAACUGAGACACGGUCCAGACUCCUACGGGAGGCAGCAGUGGGGAAUAUUGGACAAUGGGCGAAAGCCUGAUCCAGCCAUGCCGCGUGUGUGAAGAAGGUCUUCGGAUUGUAAAGCACUUUUAAGUUGGGAGGAAGGGCAUUUACCUAAUACGUGAUUGUUUUGACGUUACCGACAGAAUAAGCACCGGCUAACUCUGUGCCAGCAGCCGCGGUAAUACAGAGGGUUGCAAGCGUU
rnacentral:rRNA from 1 species